AAUGAACGUUGGCGGCGUGGAUUAGGCAUGCAAGUCGAGCGCGAUAUGUAGCAAUACUUGGAGAGCGGCGAAAGGGAGAGUAAUACGUAGGUAUCUACCCUCGGGUCUGGGAUAGCAGCGGGAAACUGCUGGUAAUACCAGAUAACGUCUCCGGACCAAAGGUGUGAUUCCACCUGAGGAGGAGCCUACGGCCUAUUAGCUAGUUGGUAGGGUAACGGCCUACCAAGGCAAAGAUGGGUAUGGGGUGUGAGAGCAUGCCCCCACUCACUGGGACGGAGACACUGCCCAGACACCUACGGGUGGCUGCAGUCGAGAAUCUUCGGCAAUGGGCGAAAGCCUGACCGAGCGACGCCGCGUGCGGGAUGAAGGCCUUCGGGUUGUAAACCGCUGUCGUAGUGGAGGAAAUGUAGGAGAGUUAUCUCUUUUACUUGACUAAUACUAGGAGGAAGGACCGGCUAAUCUCGUGCCAGCCGCCGCGGUAAGAC
rnacentral:rRNA from 1 species